GGCCGCGUAGCUCAGUUGGAAGAGCAUUGGGCUAGUAUUCCAAAGGUCGUAGGUUCGAAUCCCACCGUGGCCG